UACGUAGGUGACCAGCGUUGUCCGGAUUUACUGGGCGUAAAGAGCGCGCAGGCGGUCGUUCAAGUCGAGUGUGAAAGCCCCCGGCUCAACUGGGGAGGGUCAUUCGAAACUGGUCGACUCGAAGGCAGGAGAGGGUAGUGGAAUUCCCGGUGUAGUGGUGAAAUGCGUAGAUAUCGGGAGGAACACCAGUGGCGAAGGCGACUACCUGGCCUGUUCUUGACGCUGAGGCGCGAAAGCUAGGGGAGCAAACGGG
rnacentral:rRNA from 1 species